AGGAGCGAGCCCGGACCCCUGUUGUGGAGAGGGAAGAAAGUGAGAGGGCAGCGGCCUUGUGGGAAAGGUGAGGGGAGCAGGGCUCAGGGAGCGAGCUGCGUUGGCCUAGCGAGGAUGGCCCCGACCCGGAAGGUCCUCGGAGGUGAGAAAAGAUUACAAAAAGAACUAUUGGCAUUGCAAAAUGAUCCGCCUCCUGGAAUGACUCUAAAUGAAAAGAGCGUACAGAACUCAAUUACACAGUGGAUUGUAGACAUGGAAGGUGCUCCAGGAACGCUAUACGAAGGGGAGAAAUUUCAACUUCUAUUUAAGUUCAGUAGCCGAUAUCCUUUUGAUUCGCCUCAGGUCAUGUUUACUGGUGACAAUAUUCCUGUUCAUCCACAUGUUUAUAGCAAUGGUCAUAUCUGUUUGUCCAUUCUAACAGAAGACUGGUCUCCAGCUCUCUCAGUGCAAUCUGUUUGUCUUAGCAUUAUUAGCAUGCUUUCCAGCUGCAAAGAAAAGGUCUUUUCUUCUGUUGCAGAGGCGACCUCCAGAUAACUCAUUUUAUGUAAGAACAUGUAACAAGAAUCCAAAGAAAACAAAAUGGUGGUAUCAUGAUGACACAUGUUGAUGCCACCAUUUUGUGAUCCUCGUAGCAGAAGAUAGUCCUACUGAGAAAACGAGCACUUUGAUCAUUCAGUCUUUGAACUUUAACCUUUGACUGGAAGUGACCUAUAGGCAAAGAAGACUACUUCCUUUGACUGCAUUUUUACUAGUGUGCAUUCUGGGCGCAUGUUGAUCGCUGGUUCAGUCCAUGCAACUGACAUGCUUUUAUUAGUCAUACAGUAUUAAUGCAGGUGUCCAGAAAUGUCAGAAUAAUUCCAUUAUUUUUAUUUUAAGCUUUUGGAAGAAUUCCAGGUCUUCAUAUAUUGUGCAAUAACACUGAACUCCUUUGCGGUUUUGGUGCAUCCAUUGCCGGCAAUGGACAUUGUACCAGGGAAAGGUUUUGCUCCUGCCACAAAAAGAUUGAUGCAUAAUAGAGCUUGGGAAAGUUUCAGAUAUUUGAAUUAUAAGCAAGGGAUCUACCUGUACCUUAAAAGCCACCCCAUUCUUUUGUAUUUGGAUUCUAUGCACUGUGAUCACAAAACUAGCAGCAUGAGUUAACAUGCUUAGCUGAAGGACUGUAAUAAGAUCAUUGCAUAUUUAUUAAAUUGUUUGUCUGCUGUCAAAUUGUUUUGACAUGGAAGGUUUUUCAAGUGACAUUGGCAGGGAGGUACAAUGUUAUCCCUAUGGUGAAAUAAAACUACUUUUUGUAUAUAGUUAUUCAUAUCUCUGAAGCAAAGGUAUGAGUAAUUUAGGGUAUGAAUGAUUUAAUCAAGAAUUUAUUUUGGAGAUAAGAGAGGAUGGCAGUGAUAUAACUGAACUUGCUGCAGUCCAUAAUUGGGCUUGUAAUUUGUACUUUAGAGCUUUUUCCAAAUAGAUUGCACACUGUUAUUUCCUGCUAGCCAUCAGCAUGAGCCCUACUGCCUACACCAAUAUUUCAUUUAUUUAUGUGUUUGAAAGAAAUCAUAUAACAUUUUUGUUUGCAUUCACUGUUUCUUUUGUUGUAUGUCAUGUUUGAAUGUUACAAAAUAUUUUGAUUGAAAAGCUGAAAAGUCUGAAGUUAUUUUCAUGUAAAUUAUUUCUUGUAAGCAUCACCUUGUCUUUUAAUCCUGUACUAUAAAAAGAAAAAAAAUACAUUUUUGACAGAGGCUUAAUGUUUUGACAAAAAAGUGUGGACCUUCUUAUUUAAGUUUAGACUAAAGUAUAUUUUCUUAACUUGCUUGUCCCUCACAACCAUUAUGUUUUUGUUUGUUUUGUUUUUCCUCCAGGUUUUUACUUCACCCCUUCCCCCCUUUUCCCCCCCCCAAAAAAAAAGAUGAAAAAUCCUAAAACCAGAUUGAUGUAUUUUCUAUGGAGCAACAUUUUAUUGAAAUAAUAGAUAGUUGUUCUCACCACUCUGUAAUAUUUUGAUAUUGCAAUUAGGUUAUCUUUUUAGGAAGCACUUUUAUAAACUUAAUACCUUUACACGUAUGCAAAAUUUCUAUGACUUUUAUUUUUACUGUUGCCUUACUGUUGCACUCAAAAGUAAAGAAUCAAGUGGUCAAUAUGUGAAUGUUUAGAUGAAGCGACUACUUGAUUAAAAAAAACAAACAGAAAAUCAACAGUGACACAACCCAGACUGAAUAACUUCAAAAACAAAAUUGGCUGAUAGUACUGAAUUUUUUAACUGCUGUAUAAUAACUGACAAAUUUUAUAGCCUUGUACAUACUUCUCUGUAAUCUAAUGUUUAAAACAUUUUUAAAAAUCACAGAAGCAUAACUCAGGGUGGAUAGAGUUCAAAUGGAUUUGCUUUGGAGAAGUAUUUUGUACAGCAAUUAUUGAUAUUGUCAGUAAGGUGAGGCUACAAUAUGCUUCAGGAACUGCUAUUUUUUCUACUAUAUUGAAAAUAUCUCUUGGCCUUUAAAACGCAAUGGUAAAAUCUAGUUUUGGAUAUAAAUUUGAUGUGUAUAUAUACUUUCACAAAGAGCCUUUAAAAUCUAGAAUUCAGAUUCUUUUAAGAGCCAAAAAUAAUCAUUUUAAGCAAAUGAAGUAGUUGUGCUCCUAACUUUUUAUUUAGAUAAACUUUAUUGCUUUAAGUUAAUCAAAUCUGUUAUUUUUGGAAACGUGUCAUAUGAAUGAGCAGUGAUCUGAAUAUUUAAUCUGUAUAUUCUUGUUAACUGCUCUCUAUUAUUGAUUGAAAGGAUUGUCAUAUGAAUGAGCAGUGAUCUGAAUAUUUAAUCUGUAUAUUCUUGUUAACUGCUCUCUAUUAUUGAUUGAAAGGAUUGUCACAUCUUUGAGCAAUUCAUGUAUUUUCAUACAGCUGGUUCACAUAACGGAUCCUUUCAGAUUGUCCACAGUGAAGAGACCUUAUUUUGAUACAAGGUAAUGUGUCUGAAGAAAUGAUUAAAGUGCAUUUUCUCAGAUACUUAAAUCUUUUCAUAUGUUGGAUUGCCGUUCUACAAUACAUGAUUUCAAAGAAGCUUUAUGACAUACUGUAUGUAUUUUGUUGGAGUUGUGCGAUGUAAUGCAAAGCGUUGUUUUUUUUGAUCUAUGCUAUCACAUGGACUACAAUGAAGUUAACUAAAUUUAUGCUGCUCUUCAAUGAAAUCCUCUGUAAUAAGAGAAAAAGAAAUCCAAGGUAGAUUAGAAUUUACCUCAAGUCUUUUAGUUUACAGUAGAAAUGCAUUCAUUGGUUCUCUUGUAGAUUUACUGGUAAGUUCUCCUAUAUAUAGAGGGCAAGGACAAGGCUUACAUACCACUCAAGCCCUCAAAUUAAUGCAACUAUUCUGACAAUACUAUGGUGCCGUGAAAGGAGGUUUAAAUUAGAUGAGGGCGUUGCCAUCCUUUCCAUAGGGUGAGCCUGUGUAUGUAACUUUCUUUUGCUUGGAGUUUCUCACAUGAAGUGGUUACAGAAUUGGCUUGAAAUGGUCUUGCUUUUAUUUUGUGUCAAUGUUAAUGUUGUUAAACACUUUGUUUUUGUGUUUAGUGUCUUUAUACUAUACCACAAUAAAUUCUUGUUUUAAAAUAGA